rnacentral:rRNA from 1 species
GACGAAUGCUGGCGGCGUGCUUAACACAUGCAAGUCGAACGGAAAGGCCUGCUUUUCCUUGUGGAUUGCGGGUGCGCGAGUGGCGAACGGGUGAGUAUCACGUGAGUGAUCUGCCCCCAACUUUUGUAUAAGCUUGGGAAACUGGGUCUAAUUCGCGAUAGGACUGUAGUGUGGUGUCUGUGGUGGAAAACGAUGUUCUAGUGGUUGGGGCUGAGCUGGCGGCUAAUGAGCUUGUGGGUGGGCUACUGGCCUACGAGGGCGGGGACGGGUAGCCGGCCGGGGAGGGUGGACGGCAACAUUGGAACUGGGAUACGGCCCAGACUCCUACGGGAGGAAGCAGUGGGGAGUCUUGAACAAGGGGGGGAGGCCUAAUGCAGCAAGGCGGGGGCAGGAAUGCCGGCUUUCGGGUUGUAAACUGCUUUCGACAGGGAGGAAGCCACCUGGUUGGAAGGGUGGUGACGGUAGUGGUAGAAGAAGCACCGGCUAACUACGUG